AAACAACCAACACUGCUUCACUCCCAAACGAAACCAAACACCAACACUGCUAGAGUCUCACCGGCGGCUUCACCCUGCCGUCGUUGCUUCACUGCCGCCUUCCGUGCCUUCCGCCGUUUCUUCACUGCGCUGCCCCUUCACUGCGCUGCACUUCACUGCUUCACUCCUUCUUGCUGUACUCCCUUUUUAGAGCCGCCGCCCACGGCCAAGGAAGUCGUCCACGCUGCCGCCCACUCACUCCUUCACGCCGCCGCCCACUCACUCCUUCACGCCGCCGCCCACUCAGCCGCCCUUGUUCAUUGUAGUCUCUCCUCUCUUAGUAGCGUCAGGCAUGGAUGAAGAUCAACACGCAAAUUCAGGUCCUUCUAACAAAUCACCAAAUCAAGUGCCCCAAAAGCAAAAAAAGAAGCCAAGAGGCCCUACAAAAGGAAUAAAAUCCAUGCCCGGGGUUCCAAGAAAAAUUGAAUGGGAUCACUUGGACCGACCCACAGGGAAAUGGGCAACGGAUUACAAGAAUCACAUUGGCGAGAUAAGUCGCGCAAAGGUUUCAAUAUUGAUCAGAACCUGGGAAGAUGUUUCACAAGGAAUAAAAGACACUUUGUGGGAAGACGUCAAGAGAGAAUUUCAUAUCACAGAUGAAACUAAGAAAGAAGUUGUCUAAAAGAGUUGUGAUAAGCGUUGGAGGGAAUUCAAAUCAAGAUUGACGACUGGUUGGAUUCGGGGUACAAGGAAAAGGCCAAAAGAUGAAAAGAUGCCAUAUGAUUUGUAUAGUUAUAUAACUAAGGAUAUAUGGAAGGAAUUUGUGAAGAUACGUACCUCCGAAGAAGCUGAGUGCUUUUCGGAGUUACAAGAGACUAGGUGGACAAUCUAAGGGAACUAAAUUAACAUGGAUUCCAGCACAGUGUGCUCAACAACCGGGAUCACUAGAUUGUGGCUACUACGUCAUGCGUUUUAUGUACGACAUAAUAAUGAAUCAUUGUAAUAGUCAAGAUCUUACUAAGGAUUUUUCAAGAACAUUGCCUUAUUCAGCGGAGGAGAUUAAUGAGGUGAAAGAUUUUUGGGCAGAUUACUUCAUGAACAAUGUCGAAUUUUUAGCUUAAUUUGUAAUAUGAACUUGAUCUCUAGCUAGCUACGUACCUUUGUUGUAAUAAUUUUAUGUUUGUUGUAACAUGUUGGUUGAUCGAUCUAUGACGAAUUUAAUUGCCUUUUAUUGGGAACGUUAAUUACGUUGUAAACUUUUGUGACAGGUAUUAAUUAUAAAUGUAUUCCCGGUAUUGGGAAUGAA